GACGAACCGUGCAAACGUUAUUCGGAAUCACUGGGCAUAAAGGGCGCGUAGGCGGCUUUCUAAGUCAGGGGUGAAAUCCGGCAGCUCAACUGUCGCAGUGCCUUUGAUACUGGAGAGCUCGAGGGAGGUAGGGGUCUGUGGAACUUCCGGUGGAGCGGUGAAAUGCGUUGAUAUCCAACGGAACUCCGGUGGCGAAAGCGAGGUGCUGGACCCUUUCUGACGCUGAGGCGCGAAAGCCAGGGGAGCAAACGGG
rnacentral:rRNA from 1 species